ACAUUUUUCCUUAAAACAAACCUUAAAAUCAUAUAAAUAUCGUCAAUUAGUUUGAAUCGGAAAAUCAUUAUGAAAAGCGAGGAAGAGUAUCACAGAUACCACGUGGCUUUAUAACAUCACAAGAAGAAUUUAAAUGUAGCCAAUCAGAGUAAAGCUAAUCUACUUGUAACAUUCACAAGAUAACUUAGGAUUUUCAAUUAAUAUAAGGUAGAAAGUGUUUUGUACCGUCAGAUGGAUUCGUCAUUUUGAUCCAACGGUUAUGAUCACCUCUCAAAGAUUAGACAGCUCCCAUCUUAUAAGUGUAACUGAAGUAGAUUUUAACAAGACAGAAGUGUCUUUGUCAAAACGUCAUUAUAGUGUUCAAAAAAAAAAAAAAAAAAACAAAAGUCAAAACGUCAUUAUAACAUAAAACACCACCGGAGAUGGCCGCAACUCCCACCGCCGCCGCUGCUUCGUCCUGAGUGGCUUGAUGGUUCGUUGGUUGGAGAUUACGUCUUUGAUCCUUUCGGUUUGGGUAAACCGGCCGAGUAUCCCCAGUUCGAUAUAGAUUCGCUAGACCAGAAUCUAGCUAAGAACCCGUACGGAAGUGGCCGCCCCCAAGUCGACUCCGUUUCAACCGUACAGCGAAGUGUUCAGAAAGGUGGAUGAAUCGCGUUUUCCUUUUAAAAUUGGUUUUAGGCUUUUGUUACUUUGGUCUUUUAACCUGCUUGGCCCAUGACACUAUUAUUGGCCUGGUUGUCAUUUUCUGUGGCCAACCAAGACUGAACCUGAUGAAUCCUCAUAAUUUUGUGCGGGAGGAACGCUUUGCUUUUGAAA